rnacentral:rRNA from 1 species
UAGGGAAUCUUCGGCAAUGGACGAAAGUCUGACCGAGCAACGCCGCGUAAGUGAAGAAGGUUUUCGGAUCGUAAAACUCUGUUGUUAGAGAAGAACAAGGACGUUAGUAACUGAACGUCCCCUGACGGUAUCUAACCAGAAAGCCACGGCUAACUACGUGCCAGCAGCCGCGGUAAUACGUAGGUGGCAAGCGUUGUCCGGAUUUAUUGGGCGUAAAGCGAGCGCAGGCGGUUUCUUAAGUCUGAUGUGAAAGCCCCCGGCUCAACCGGGGAGGGUCAUUGGAAACUGGGAGACUUGAGUGCAGAAGAGGAGAGUGGAAUUCCAUGUGUAGCGGUGAAAUGCGUAGAUAUAUGGAGGAACACCAGUGGCGAAGGCGGCUCUCUGGUCUGUAACUGACGCUGAGGCUCGAAAGCGUGGGGAGCAAACAGG